rnacentral:rRNA from 1 species
UACAGAGGGGGCAAGCGUUGUUCGGAAUUACUGGGCGUAAAGGGCGCGUAGGCGGCCUGCUAAGUCGAACGUGAAAUCCCCGGGCUCAACCCGGGAACUGCGUCCGAUACUGGCAGGCUUGAAUCCGGGAGAGGGAUGUGGAAUUCCAGGUGUAGCGGUGAAAUGCGUAGAUAUCUGGAGGAACACCGGUGGCGAAGGCGACAUCCUGGACCGGUAUUGACGCUGAGGCGCGAAAGCCAGGGGAGCAAACGGGG